rnacentral:rRNA from 1 species
GAUGAACGCUGGCGGCGUGCCUAAUACAUGCAAGUCGAACGAAUGGAUUAAGAGCUUGCUCUUAUGAAGUUAGCGGCGGACGGGUGAGUAACACGUGGGUAACCUGCCCAUAAGACUGGGAUAACUCCGGGAAACCGGGGCUAAUACCGGAUAACAUUUUGAACCGCAUGGUUCGAAAUUGAAAGGCGGCUUCGGCUGUCACUUAUGGAUGGACCCGCGUCGCAUUAGCUAGUUGGUGAGGUAACGGCUCACCAAGGCAACGAUGCGUAGCCGACCUUAGAGGGUGAUAGGCCACACUGGGACUGAGACACGGCCCAGACUCCUACGGGAGGCAGCAGUAGGGAAUCUUCCGCAAUGGGCGAAAGUCUGACGGAGCAACGCCGCGUGGGUGAUGAAGGCUUUCGGGUCGUAAAACUCUGUUGUUAGGGAAGAACAAGUGCUAGUUGAAUAAGCUGACACCUUGACGGUACCUAACCAGAGAGCCACGGCUAACUACGUGCCAGCAGCCGCCGUAA